rnacentral:rRNA from 1 species
GAUGAACGCUGGCGGUAUGCUUAACACAUGCAAGUCGAACGGACUCUUCGGAGUUAGUGGCGGACGGGUGAGUAACGCGUGAGAAUCUGGCUUUGGGUUCGGGACAACCACUGGAAACGGUGGCUAAUACCGGAUGUGCCGAGAGGUAAAAGAGAAAUUGCCUGAAGAUGAGCUCGCGUCUGAUUAGCUAGUUGGUGAGGUAAAGGCUCACCAAGGCAGCGAUCAGUAGCUGGUCGGAGAGGAUGACCAGCCACACUGGGACUGAGACACGGCCCAGACUCCUACGGGAGGCAGCAGUGGGGAAUUUUCCGCAAUGGGCGAAAGCCUGACGGAGCAAUACCGCGUGAGGGAAGAAGGCUCUUGGGUUGUAAACCUCUUUUCUUAGGGAAGAACAAAAUGACGGUACCUAAGGAAUCAGCAUCGGCUAACUCCGUG